AUGUCAACCUCCUCGUCGCCGACCCUCCUCCACUCGAAGCACUGCACCAGCGUGCCCAGCGCGAGCCCGACCAUCUUCACGCCGAGCGCCUCCCCUGGGCACCCUCUCCGCCCCAUUCCGAAUGGCAGCAUCCACUUUCCCUCGCCCCUCCCGCCUUCAAACCUCUCUGGCGAGAACCUUGCCGGCUCCUCCCACACACGCGCAUCCCUGUGCAUCGUGUGGAUGUUGACAAGGAGCAUGGUUCCCGCUGGGAUGUCGUAG
rnacentral:rRNA from 1 species